rnacentral:rRNA from 1 species
UACAGAGGGUGCAAGCGUUAAUCGGAAUUACUGGGCGUAAAGCGCACGUAGGCGGUUUUUUAAGUCAGAUGUGAAAGCCCCGGGCUCAACCUGGGAAUUGCAUUUGAAACUGGAAAACUAGAGUGUGUGAGAGGGGGGUAGAAUUCCAAGUGUAGCGGUGAAAUGCGUAGAGAUUUGGAGGAAUACCAGUGGCGAAGGCGGCCCCCUGGCACAACACUGACGCUCAGGUACGAAAGCGUGGGGAGCAAACAGG